rnacentral:tRNA from 1 species
GGGGCUAUAGCUCAGCUGGGAGAGCGCCUGGAUCGCACCCAGGAGGUCGUCGGUUCGAGUCCGACUAGCUCCA